rnacentral:lncRNA from 1 species
UGAUGCAGCGUAGCCCAGCGGUGGUGCCCUCCAGGCUUCUGAGCCCCAAACCCCCGCUUCUCCUCCUCUGUACUUCCUCUCCCUGCCCCCCUGGAUGGGAGCUGUGCAUGGACACAUAAGAAGGUCGGCUGCCCUGAAGCCACCAUGCUGGAGAGGCUGUGGAAAGGCCCCACAGAGCUAGACAGAGCUGCCAAAGAGCCCCGCCCCAGGGGAGUCUUGCCAGACAGGUGGGUGAGGAGCUGCAGCCUGUGCAAGUCCCAGCUGAGGCCUCGGACACUGGGACAGAGACCAGCCUUUCCCACUGUCCUCUCUGAAUUCCCUGCAGAGACCAUAAGAGAGAAGAGCAGCUACUGGCUGAAGCCACUACAUUUUAGGGCGACUUGUGAUGCUGCAGCAACUGAUAGCAACUGCACCCCCACAGCCCCUGAUGGAUGCUCUGCCUGGCACCAGGCUCUGUGCCCCUGAGAAGAUGGGCUCCCUGGCUUGCAGAGCUGCUAUUUGUGGGGCCGGAAUAAUAAACAGCUGAAUGGACCAGAGACUAUCAGUUGGUUAAAUGGGACUGGGAUGCAUUUUCCAUCAGGGAAUCAAUCGGGGCUCCUCUGAAGAGGUGAUAUGAGCUCUGAGGCCUGGAGAAGGAAGAGAUGGCUCUGGGAGCUGGGACCAGGCAGCCCAGCCCAGGAUUGCUGUGAUGGCCUCUGCUGGGUAUGGCCCCCAGAGGCCUGCUGGCCUGUGAGCUCUAUGGGGGUGCACAGGGCACUGGUUCUGCCCAAGAGGAAACGCCAGCAGUGGAGUUGGUGCUGGUGUAAGAGCAACAGCAAAGGUAUUUUUUUUAACUUUUUAUAUUGAAAUAAUGAUAAUCUGUAACAAUUACAGAUUCACAGGAAGUUGGAAAGAUAAUAGAGAGAGAAGCCUGUGUACCCUUCACCCAGUUUCCCCCAAUGGUCACAUUCUACAUAACCACCACACAUCAGAAAAGGGACAUUGGCACUGGUGUGACAAGGGUGUCAAGCCCUGUGUCACUUUAUCACACAUGGAGAUCCAUGUUUCUGUCCCUGUAACCAGGAUACAGAGCUGUUCCCUCUCCAUGGAGACCCCCUGGUACUCCCUUUCACAGUGACAAUCACCCCCCUACCCCAGCUCCUGGCAGCCGCCAAUCUCCUCUCCAUCUCUAUGAUUUUGUUAUUUCAAAAAUGUUAUAUAAAUGGAAUUAUGCCAUUUACAUUUUCUGUAAUUACUGACAUAACUUCAGUCUGCUGUUUUAUUUUUUGCUUUGUUUGUUCCUGUGUUUGUUGGUGGUGGUGUUUCUCUAUUUUCUUUUUUUUGCCUUGCUGAGUGUUACUUGGACAUAUUUAAGCAUCUAUUUUGGUUUUUGUACAGUGUUUUUAGUGUAUAUCUUUGUAUAGAUUUCUAGUGGCUGCCAUACUGCAUUAUACAUAUGUACUUAUCACAGUCUACUGCCAUCAACAUUUUACCAUUUCGAGUGACAUGUAGAAAGCUUCCCUCUCUUUGUGUCCCUUUUCCCCUUCCAUUUAUAAUAUAAUUAUCCUAAAUAUUUUUUCUACAUACAUUGAGACAUUCGACAAUGCUAUAAUUUUUGCUUCAACCACCAAAUGUAACUUAGAAACCUUCAGAGAAGGGGUCCAUUGUAUUUACCCAUAGUUUUGCUCUUUCCAUUGUACUUUCUUCCUGAUGUCUCAAGAUUCCUUCCUUAUCACUUUCUUUCCAUGAGAAGAACUUCCUUUGGCCCUCCUUUCACAGUAGGUUUGCUGGCAACAAACUUACUUUUCCCUUCACCUGAGAAGGUCUUGAUUCCUCCUCAUUCCUGAGGGAUAGUUUCACUGGGUAUAGAAUUUAUGGUUGACAGCUCUUUUCUUAUGGCACUUAAAAACGUUCCACUUAUUUCUUGCCUCCAUGCUUUCUGAUGAGACAUCCAUGUUUUUUGGAAGGUGGUUACGUGGCUGCUUUCAAAAUUGGGGUUUGUUGUUGUUUAGUUUUUGGAAGUCUGACUGUGAUAUGUCUUGGUGUGGAUUUCCUUGGGUUUAUAACGUUUGGAGUUCAUUCAGCUUCUUAAAUCCUUACAUUUAUGUCUUUUGCCAAGUUUAGGAGAUUGCUUCUUCAAUAUUUUUUCGGCUUUGUCCUCUUUCUCUUCUCCUCCUGGCAAUUAGAUGACAUGAAUAUUAGAUCUUUUGUUAUCUCUCAGAGAACUCUUUUCUCCCACCCCUAGUCUAUUUUCUCUCUGUUUCAGACUGGGUGGUUUAUAUUGCUCUAUCUCCAGGUUCACUGCAUCUUUCCUUUGUCCCCUCUGUUCUGCUUUGGAGUUAUCGAUUAAGUUUUUAUUCUGAUUAUUGUAUGUUUUUAAAAAAUUCUAAAGUGUCCAUUUGGUUCUCUUUAUAACUUCUAUUUCCUUGCUGAAACAUUCUUUAUUUUCAUUUGUUUCAAGCAUGUUCAUAAUUGCUCAUCAAAGCACCUUUAGGAUGGCUGCUUUAAAAGCCUCAUCAGGUAAUCCUGAUAUUCCUUCCUGUUCAACAUAUACCAGUAUUGGUGUAUGCUGAUUGUAUUUUCUGGUACAACUGACAUUUCUCUGGUUCUUGCUAUGACAGGUGAUUUUCUUAUUGGAUCUUGAAAGUUUGGGGUAUUGUAUGUUGAGACUCUGGAUUACAUUUCAAUCUUCUGUUUCACAGCUGGCCUCUCCUGACCCCAUAUGGUAGACAGAGAGGGGUGCUGCCCCAUUACAUCAGGAAUGGGGGAGGGAAACCCAGCAUCCCCACUUUAACCCAGGUGUUUUUAGCACAAUGAGAAAACUUGGGUUGCUUCCCUCAUCUCCAGGGAAGCAGGAGGCUGAUCUCUUGCUGCCCUGCUUCUUGGCAGGGCAGUGGGGGCAAGGGCUGCUAGGCCUUAAAAAGAGGGUGCCAGGGAUGGCUUUUCCAGAGGCUAUGGCCCUGGAGAGGGCUCCCAUACUUGGGAACAUCUUUGGUGACCUGACUGUGACCCCCAGGAUGACAAGCAGCAUUCUGGGAGUGGUAGGAGCUGGACUGAGCCACGGACUGCAAACUGGAGGCCUGCUGGCUGGGAUCUUCACACUUUUGAAAGGUCUUGUUCACUCCACACUCUCCCAAUAACAUGUGCAUGCAUUCCACCGAUUACUGCUGCUGCAGCCCUGGCCUGCUCCGGCAUUUGGCCCAUCUCACUAUUUACCUCCAUCAACUACUUGGCCCCUGAAGUCAUCUGAGUUUGCAGCCCCAGGAGGAGGCAGUGCCAAGUCCCCCCAGUCUCCAGGGAUUGCUUGCAUGUGUGUGGGCAGGUGGGGGGCAGGGGGAGGGACUCUGCUACUCUGUCUUUUGUGCAAUAAAGUAUUGACAUUG